CUAUAAACAGCGGCUAUAAGCGAAAACUCUCAAAGCCUCUCGCUCACCUCGCCUCCUCCUGAACCGAGAUGGUCAAGUUCUCAAAACCAAACAAGGCCGUUAUCCUCCUACAGGGCCGCUUCGCCGGCAGGAAGGCGGUGAUUGUCCGAUCCUUCGAUGACGGCACACGCGACCGCCCUUACGGCCACUGCCUGGUCUCUGGCAUAUCCAAGUACCCAGCGAAGGUGAUCAAGAAAGACUCUGCGAAGAAGACAGCGAAGAAUUCACGAGUGAAGGCGUUUAUGAAGGUGGUGAACUACAGCCAUUUGAUCCCUACGAGAUACACACUGGAUGUGGAUUUGAAGGAUGUGGUGAG
rnacentral:misc_RNA from 1 species